rnacentral:rRNA from 1 species
AGCAGCCGCCGCGGGAAUACGUAGGUCCCGAGCGUUGUCCGGAUUUAUUGGGCGUAAAGCGAGCGCAGGCGGUUAGAUAAGUCUGAAGUUAAAGGCUGUGGCUUAACCAUAGUACGCUUUGGAAACUGUUUAACUUGAGUGCAAGAGGGGAGAGUGGAAUUCCAUGUGUAGCGGUGAAAUGCGUAGAUAUAUGGAGGAACACCGGUGGCGAAAGCGGCUCUCUGGCUUGUAACUGACGCUGAGGCUCGAAAGCGUGGGGAGCAAACAGGAUUAGAUACCCGCGUAGUCCCUGUCUCUUAUACC